UAUCUCUGAUUAUUAUCUUCAUGCGCACUACUAAAAGUCUUCUCCAUCACCACAUUCAUUCCUCUCUCUAUAUAUACAUAAAAAACACGCUUCUGUUCUUCACAUCUUCUCAUAUCCACCGCCUCUCGGUUUUCUUUCUCUACAAUUUUGUUGAUUAUCGCCUCGAUCUUCUCCGAUCAAUUGUCUGCGACCAUGGUUAAUCUCUUCAAAUAACAUUUCUGUUACUGUUUUUACUUCGUUUGACUUGUUACAUGACAUAUCUGUGUACUUUAGUUUUCUUCCUUUAAUCGCUAUUAUACUAAUUGUUCGUUUUUAAUCUAUGCAUGUGUUUCCGUAUGAAUGCAUCGAAUUAUGUUUUGUUUAGUUUUUUGAUGUUAGGUAUUCGAUAUGUUAUAUGUUUAGUUUUGAUGAAUUUGAAACCCUAAAGCUGUAAAUGGACCCAGAUUCGUUUAUCCCGAUGUUACUUUUCUGAUUCGGAACUGAUUUGAAAACUUAGUUGUCUGACUUAGUUAAUCUUAUUACAGUGAAACCGUGUGAUUCUUGUUUAUUUUCAAGUAUAAUUGAUUUGAAUAGUUAUAGCUGACAGUUGUUGUUCCAUACAUGGACAGUUGUUUAACUUAUAGUAAGCCCGAAGAUUUGAUGAAUGUAUUAAACAUUUUGUUGUCUUUGUGUAAGGACAUAUGUAUUGGUCAUAACUUCUCGCAAAGAGGUUGGAACUUACCUUGGUUAUCCUUUCUCCAAAGUCAUGUCUAUGAAGUUCUUAUCCUGUAAUGAAUGUUUAUGUCAGCUUAAUAAUCAGCAAAAAAAAGAUGAGGCUUACUUCCAGACAUUGUUGAGAACUGUAGAGGAGACUCGUGGAUUGUAUUAUUCCUACGAAACAUAAAUUACAUUAAACCUACAUAGAAGAUAUAAGAUGGCUGACGGAUUGAUGAGUAAACCAAUUUGGAAGCAAGUAUAUUCUCACAUAUGAUAUUCUGUUUUAAUUGCAAAUUUUAUUGAAACUGAACAAUUGCUGUAGUAUGAUGGAUUCAAGUCAUCAUUUUUACAGGUCCGAGGUUCAAUUCCUCUAUUAUGGGAGCAAAUUGUUGAUUUAAGUUAUAAACCGCGUCUUGCUGUUAUUGAGCAUCAACAAUCAAGAUACAGUAUGGAUUAUAUCAUAAUAACUUCAUUUACUUUAAUGAAUUCAUGAUUUAUACUUUAAUGAGAAUAUUAUAUUAUAUAUUAUUUCCUUAAAGUGUGUGAUGUUUUAUUUACAUAGUUAAUUUUAACCUUGUGUUUAACUAGAUGCAGCCCAUGGUGGUGAAACGUCACUUUCAUGAUCUUAUGCAAAGAUAUGGAGAUACUAUUGUUGUUGACUUAACUGACCAGGUAACACACUGGCCCAAAGCAUUAACUGAUAAAUGAUGUUUAAAUAUUUGACUAUUUGACAAUCCCUAUUUAAAUAUAUAUCAUAUUUAAUCUUUUAAACUUGGAAUUUGCCACAGAAAUG